rnacentral:lncRNA from 1 species
UCAGACCGAUAUGGCGUUCAGGCCAAUUUUCCGAUUUUCAGAUCGAAGUGGUAUUCAGGCCAAUUUCCCGGUAUUCAGACCGAGGCGGUAUUCAGACCGAUAUGGCGUUCAGGCCAAUUUUCCGAUUUUCAGAUCGAAGUGGUAUUCAGGCCAAUUUUCCGGUAUUCAGACCGAGGCCGUAAGCAGACCGAUGAGGCGUUCAGGCCAGGU